UGGGGAAUAUUGCACAAUGGGCGAAAGCCUGAUGCAGCAACGCCGCGUGAGUGAUGACGGCCUUCGGGUUGUAAAGCUCUGUCUUUGGGGGCGAUAAUGACGGUACCCAAGGAGGAAGCCACGGCUAACUACGUGCCAGCAGCCGCGGUAAUACGUAGGUGGCAAGCGUUGUCCGGAUUUACUGGGCGUAAAGGGUGCGUAGGCGGACCUUUACGAGAGAUGUGAAAUCCCCGAGCUUAACUUGGGGGCUGCAUUUCAAAGUGGAGGUCAAGAGUGCAGGAGAGGAGGGUGGAAUUCCUAGUGUGGCGGUGAAAUACGUAGAGAUUAGGAAGAACACCAGUGGCGAAGACGACUCUCUGGACUGUAACUGACGCUGAGGCACGCAAGCGUGGGGAGC
rnacentral:rRNA from 1 species